rnacentral:rRNA from 1 species
GACGAACGCUGGCGGCGUGCCUAAUACAUACAAGUAGAACGCUGAAGAGAGGAGCUUGCUCUUCUUGGAUGAGUUGCGAACGGGUGAGUAACGCGUAGGUAACCUGCCUGGUAGCGGGGGAUAACUAUUGGAAACGAUAGCUAGUACCGCAUGAUAUUGAAUAUCGCAUGAUAAUUAAUUGAAAGAUGCAAUUGCAUCACUACCAGAUGGACCUGCGUUGUAUUAGCUAGUUGGUGAGGUAACGGCUCACCAAGGCGACGAUACAUAGCCGACCUGAGAGGGUGAUCGGCCACACUGGGACUGAGACACGGCCCAGACUCCUACGGGAGGCAGCAGUAGGGAAUCUUCGGCAAUGGGGGGAACCCUGACCGAGCAACGCCGCGUGAGUGAAGAAGGUUUUCGGAUCGUAAAGCUCUGUUGUAAGAGAAGAACGGGUGUGAGAGUGGAAAGUCACACUGUGACGUAUCUACCAGAAAGGACG